GCCAGAGAUGGCGGGGACACACACCACUCACUGAUCCUGAUAUCCUCCUCCCCUGUUCUCUAUUUCUAGGCAUCUCAAGAUGUCUCAGAACCUUUUGUGGAACUGCUCUUUAAAAUGCACUAUAUAAAAUUAAAGAAAGGGACUUGGUGCCUUCAUUAGGAAGAACCACAAACAGAUGACAAGUCUUUUUGGAAAGGGAAGAAGGUUAUCAACAUAACCUGGUGAUAAGAAGAACCAUUAUCUGCAUUUUAUAGAACCCGAAAAUUAAAGCACACAACGUGAUCCAGCAUUUUCAUACAGGUAGUUUGGAGGAUUCUUGGAAGAUGGCCGACUGGUAGCAACCCUCAGCAGAGGCUCCUGACCAGAGGGAGAAAAACUGGAUGGAAUGGGACUCCAUGAAGCCAAAGGUGGGGAGCUGAGCCAAGAAAGAAAUUUGGCGAGCUGUAACUCCAAGGAAGAGCAUUAAAGAA